CAUGGUGACUAUAGCGCGGAGGUCCACCUCUUCCCAUUCCGAACAGAGAAGUUAAGCCCCGCAGCGCCGAUGAUACUGCACGAGAGUUGUGGGAAAGUAGGUCGUCGCCACCC
rnacentral:rRNA from 1 species